rnacentral:rRNA from 1 species
GAUGAACGCUGGCGGCGUGCCUAACACAUGCAAGUCGAGCGUGAUUUAUGAGGACGAAACUUCGGUCUAGGAAUCAUAAUGAAAGCGGCGGACGGGUGAGUAACGCGUAGGCAACCUGCCCUUGACACAGGGAUAGCCUCGGGAAACCGGGAUUAAAACCUGAUGACGCCAAACAGUCACAUGGCUGUUUGGCCAAAGAUUUAUCGGUCAAGGAUGGGCCUGCGUCUGAUUAGUUUGUUGGUGGGGUAACGGCCUACCAAGACGACGAUCAGUAGCCGACCUGAGAGGGUGAUCGGCCACAUUGGAACUGAGACACGGUCCAAACUCCUACGGGAGGCAGCAGUGGGGAAUAUUGCACAAUGGGCGAAAGCCUGAUGCAGCAACGCCGCGUGAGCGAUGAAGGCCUUUGGGUCGUAAAGCUCUGUCCUUGGGGAAGAAACAAAUGACGGUACCCAAGGAGGAAGCCCCGGCUAACUACGUGCCAGCCGCCGCAGUAAUAC